UACAUCGCGUUUCCGGCGGGGGUGGAGCAGCAGAUCAAAGAGCGGGUCGCUGCCUUUCCAUUCCUAAGUUAAAUUAACUGGGAUCCAAACUGCUGGUGGAUUCCCGCCAAUAUAAACAUACCAGCUCAUCCACUGGCAGCCCCCAUGCACCCUUGAAUGCUGUGGAAAAUGGCAGUGUCUUCUCCAUCCAUCUUUUCCCACUGACUCUGUGCAGCAGAACAACAUCUCUACCUAUUUCUGUCUGUCUGAAACCAUUCUGGACUAGGAUAAGAGCAAAAAUUAAAUUUCCACUAGGCUGAAACAUUACAUGUAUAAGUCUAUUGUUACUCUAGGUAGCUGCACAUGUCCAAGUCAUAACAGAGAUACUGGAGGUCCCUUCCAGCUGUGAAUUCCAAAAUGCCAUAGCAUGAGCAACUGUCCUCCGUCCUGCCUUUCCACUCUGCCAUUUCUGCCUGCGAGAUAACCAACUAGCGACUGAAUCCUCUGAAAACUGUAUCUCUACAAAGUCUUCCCUGAAGAAGGAGCUCAAGUUGCAAUACUCAUAAUUCAUUCCAUUCUAAGGACCUAACUACUGACUUCUGUUUCUACACCAAGUUGCCAAUGUGCUGUGUAGGAGAAAACUACAGAGUUGCACCAAUGGACUCUCCUAUGUGUUUAGAAGACAGCAAAUCAAGGCAGAAGAGAGGAUCUGUGGUGGAUAGCAGAAAACUUGAGAAGUGAGUCUCACUACUCAUAUAUUAUCAAAACAAAGGAUCCAGGGUGGAAAUUCAAGCCAUCUGUGACCAACUCCAGCAGCAGGACUUUUAUGAACACAGUAUAAAACAUUAGUUUUGUUCAGGCAGGAAAUAAAAUCAU